UUACCAUAUCUUUAUUACAAUCGCGGAAAAACGUGUAUAUAAGGGAGACACCGAGUGCCAGCAACCUUUGUGGGCUGUCCGGGUGUGUAAACUACACCCGUUAGCAAGGGCCGGGCAAGACCGGUGCCAGCCGCCGCGGUAACACCGGCGGCCCGAGUGGUGAUCGUGAUUAUUAGGUCUAAAGGGUCCGUAGCCGGUUUGGUCAGUCCUCCGGGAAAUCUGACGGCUUAACCGUUAGGCUUUCGGGGGAUACUGCCAGGCUUGGAACCGGGAGAGGAAAAAGGUACUACAGGGGUAGGAGUGAAAUCUUGUAAUCCCUGGGGGACCCCCUGUGGCGAAGGGGUCUUACCAAAACGGGUUCAACGGGGAGGGACGAAAGCUGGGGGCACAAACCGGAUUAAAUACCCGGGUAGUCCCAGCCGUAAACAAUGCUCGCUAGGUGUCAGGCAUGGGGCGACCGUGUUUGGGGCCGCAGGGAAGCCGUGAAGCGAGCCACCUGGAAAGAACGGCCGCAAGGUUGAAACUUAAAGGAAUUGGGGGGGGAAAGGGCGAAUUCGUUUAAACCUGCAGGACUAGUCCCUUUAGUGAGGGUUAAUUCUAAGCUUGGGGUAUCCAUGGCCAUAGCUGUUUCCGGGA
rnacentral:rRNA from 1 species